CGCCUCUUGAAAUAUAUAAGAGGUCCCGCCUGCCCAGUGACCUAGUUAAACGGCCGCGGUAUCCUGACCGUGCGAAGGUAGCGUAAUCACUUGUCUUUUAAAUAGAGACUAGUAUGAACGGCAUCACGAGGGUUACUCUGUCUCCUCCCCUUGAUCAAUGAAACUAAUUUUCCCGUGAAGAAGCGGGAAUGCUUAUAUAAGACGAGAAGACCCUAUGGAGCUUUAAACAAAGUAAUAUCUGCUUUUCCCUUUUUUCCCCCAGGACAAUAACCACCAUUUUAGCAUUAUAAUUACUAGUUUUCGGUUGGGGCGACCGUGGAGCACAAACUAACCUCCAUGAUGAACCAGCAUUGGCCUAAACAAAAAGCUACGACUUUAUGUAUCAGAAGACUGACAUAUAUUGACCCAAAAUUUUGAUCAACGAACCAAGUUACCCUAGGGAUAACAGCGCAAUCCACUUCGAGAGUUCAUAUCGAAAAGUGGGCUUACGACCUCGAUGUUGGAUCAGGGUAUCCCAGUGGUGCAGCCGCUACUAAAGGUUCGUUUGUUCAACGAUUAAAACCCU
rnacentral:rRNA from 1 species